GACGAACCUGCGAACGUUGUUCGGAAUCACUGGCUUAAAGGCGCGUAGGCGGGCCAUAAAGUCAGGGGUGAAAUCCUCCAGCUUAACUGGAGAACUGCCUUUGAUACUGAUGGUCUCGAGUAAGGUAGGGGGCAUGCGGAACUGAUGGUGGAGCGGUGAAAUGUGUUGAUAUCAUCAGGAACUCCGGUGGCGAGCGCAUGCUGGACCUUCACUGACGCUGAGGUCGCGAAAGCUAGGGGAGCGAACGG
rnacentral:rRNA from 1 species